rnacentral:lncRNA from 1 species
UUUGAUCUUUAUUUGAACAAUUCUUAAAAGUUUUAACCUCAAUUUGAGUAUUUAACUAAAAUAGUAUAGUUUGAAACUUGUUCUUUAAACUCAUGGUUGACAUUCAAAGGUGAUGUGCCCAAUCCCUUAAAAUAGAAAAAUUUCCAUUUAAAUCCCUUCCUAAUUUAUAAAAUUUUAAAUUAGUAAUUAUAAAAUUAUACUUUAGCUCCCUAAAAAUAAUAAAAAUCUGAUUUAAUCUUUUAAAAAUUAUAAAAAUAUAAAUUAUUAAAAUAAUAAAAUUAUAUUUUUAAUAUCAUAAAUAUAUAAUUUAAUUUCCAUACUUUAAAUAAAAUUUCCUCCUACCAACUUAACCAAUAGUCUAAUUAUCAUAUAAGGACCUCCAAUUUAAAAUUACAUAACAAUUGGACACUUCUAACAUGUAGAACUCAACUUUUGCACUUUUUACAAUUUAGUCCUUUUGACUAAAUUGAGUGCCCAAACGUCAAAAUUUUCGAACGAAAUUUUCACGAAAUUAUUUUGUGAAAUCUUAGACCAUAAAAAUAUAAUAAAAUAAUUUUUUUUGUCGAAUUUGUGGUCUCGAAACCACUGUUUCGACUAGGCCCAAAAUUAGGCUGUUACAACUCUCCCCUUUAGGGAUUUUCGUCCCCGAAAAUCUUACUAGAAGAAGUUACUUUUGACCUUCUAAUCCGGUCGACAUGUCCACGAGAACUACCACAAAUGUCUUCAUUUUCAUCUUCAUAAUUAUUGCCGAAGUUGCAUUUUCCCAGAAAACAAACUGUACCCUUGAUUUCGAGUUCAAAUCACCCGCAAAUUAAAGCAACGAAAAUGGCGAUUGGGGUGGAUUUAUCGACGAAAACUAUUGUGGAACCACAUUCAAUGGCUACCUCAAAGCAUUGGGGCUCGGAGCAAAUCAAACCAGGUUUAUAUUCUUGGAUUCAAGGGAGCAAACAAGAUGCUUGAAUUCCAUGAAAAGAUACGAAGAACAUGUUCUGGUUUGUGGGAUGGAGAAGCUAACAUCAAGUGGUAGGGGAUGCUCCGAUUAUUCGACGGCCGAUGUUGAACAAAAACUGGGGAAUGAGCUGCGGAGUUUGGGUGAAAAUUGCAGGUUUCCUUCAUGUGGUUUGUGUGUUAGAAACUGGGAAUCCAUUAAAGGAGGGUCACAUUUAGAAGAGUCAAGGAUUUGUAGGUUUUCUUUAGGUUCUCAGGAAGAUGAAGAAAGAAGACAAUAAGGUGGAGGAUUUAAUUGGUUUCUUUUUUCAAUUUCAGAAAUAUAAAUAAAAUAACAUUUAAAGAAAAUAUUUAGUUGAAAAGUUCAUAGUUAAAAAAUUAUUUGUGGAACAAAAAAAUAUAUUUUUUAAGUGUACUAAAUAC